AAAAUUAUAUGUACAUGCGUAGUUAACUAGAUUAAGAAUGGGUUUGAAAAUGUCAAGCAAUGCUCUUCUUCUAUCUUUAUUUCUUUUACUUCUUUGUCUCUUUUCUGAAAUUGGAGGAAUUGAGACCACUCGCCAAAGGAUAGAACCUAUUAGAGAGCUAUCUGUAUCUCCAUCUUGUUCAUGCGGAGGAGGCAAAGGAACUGUUUCAUAUAAAAGUUCAUGCCCACGUCCACGUCCUUGCCCACCUCCACGUGCACGUUAGAACCUAUAAAAGGACGUAAAGAAGAAGCACAAGCAAAUUGCAAAUGGAUAACUUAUUUUAUUUGUUUGUGCUUCUAUUUUACUUUUUGAAGAAAUCUAUGUUAAAUUUUUACGUAAUAAAUCAGAAAUGAUAUAUUUUGCCAAUAUGCAAAAGAACAUAUGGGUUUCUCAAAUCCUCAUUCUCGUAGGUUUUCAUUUGAAAAAUCCAUGUGUUCUCUCUCUUCCUCUUUAUCAAAGUUUUAUUUACUA